GAUGAACGCUGGCGGCGUGCCUAAUACAUGCAAGUCGAGCGAACAGACGAGGAGCUUGCUCCUCUGACGUUAGCGGCGGACGGGUGAGUAACACGUGGAUAACCUACCUAUAAGACUGGUAUAACUUCGGGAAACCGGAGCUAAUACCGGAUAAUAUAUUGAACCGCAUGGUUCAAUAGUGAAAGACGGUUUUGCUGUCACUUAUAGCUGGAUCCGCGCCGCAUUAGCUAGUUGGUAAGGUAACGGCUUACCAAGGCAACGAUGCGUAGCCGACCUGAGAGGGUGAUCGGCCACACUGGAACUGAGACACGGUCCAGACUCCUACGGGAGGCAGCAGUAGGGAAUCUUCCGCAAUGGGCGAAAGCCUGACGGAGCAACGCCGCGUGAGUGAUGAAGGUCUUCGGAUCGUAAAACUCUGUUAUUAGGGAAGAACAAAUGUGUAAGUAACUAUGCACGUCUUGACGGUACCUAAUCAGAAAGCCACGGCUAACUACGUG
rnacentral:rRNA from 1 species